AUAUCCAUGUUGUGGGCAUCUCCUCACUAAAUCCUUAUAUCUCUCCCAACAUUCAAAGAGUUGUUCAUCGGGCUGUUGAGAGAAAGCUACAAUCUCAAAUCUCAAUUU